GGCCUAUCAGCUUGUUGGUGAGGUAAUGGCUCACCAAGGCGACGACGGGUAGCCGGCCUGAGAGGGUGACCGGCCACACUGGGACUGAGACACGGCCCAGACUCCUACGGGAGGCAGCAGUGGGGAAUAUUGCACAAUGGGCGAAAGCCUGAUGCAGCAACGCCGCGUGAGGGAUGACGGCCUUCGGGUUGUAAACCUCUUUUAGUAGGGAAGAAGCGUAAGUGACGGUACCUGCAGAAAAAGCACCGGCUAACUACGUGCCAGCAGCCGCGGUAAUACGUAGGGUGCAAGCGUUGUCCGGAAUUAUUGGGCGUAAAGAGCUCGUAGGCGGUUUGUCGCGUCUGCUGUGAAAUCCCGAGGCUCAACCUCGGGCUUGCAGUGGGUACGGGCAGACUAGAGUGCGGUAGGGGAGAUUGGAAUUCCUGGUGUAGCGGUGGAAUGCGCAGAUAUCAGGAGGAACACCGAUGGCGAAGGCAGAUCUCUGGGCCGUAACUGACGCUGAGGAGCGAAAGCGUGGGGAGCGAACAGGAUUAGAUACCCUGGUAGUCCACGCCGUAAACGUUGGGCGCUAGAUGUAGGGACCUUUCCACGGUUUCUGUGUCGUAGCUAACGCAUUAAGCGCCCCGCCUGGGGAGUACGGCCGCAAGGCUAAAACUCAAAGGAAUUGACGGGGGCCCGCACAAGCGGCGGAGCAUGCGGAUUAAUUCGAUGCAACGCGAAGAACCUUACCAAGGCUUGACAUACACCGGAAACGGCCAGAGAUGGUUGCCCCCUUGUGGUCGGUGUACAGGUGGUGCAUGGUUGUCGUCAGCUCGUGUCGUGAGAUGUUGGGUUAAGUCCCGCAACGAGCGCAACCCUCGUUCUAUGUUGCCAGCGCGUUAUGGCGGGGACUCAUAGGAGACUGCCGGGGUCAACUCGGAGGAAGGUGGGGAUGACGUCAAAUCAUCAUGCCCCUUAUGUCUUGGGCUUCACGCAUGCUACAAUGGCCGGUACAAAGGGCUGCGAUACCGUAAGGUGGAGCGAAUCCCAAAAAGCCGGUCUCAGUUCGGAUUGAGGUCUGCAACUCGACCUCAUGAAGUCGGAGUCGCUAGUAAUCGCAGAUCAGCAACGCUGCGGUGAAUACGUUCCCGGGCCUUGUACACACCGCCCGUCAAGUCAUGAAAGUCGGUAACACCC
rnacentral:rRNA from 1 species